rnacentral:rRNA from 2 species
UACGUAGGUGGCAAGCGUUGUCCGGAUUUACUGGGCGUAAAGGGAGCGUAGGUGGAUAUUUAAGUGGGAUGUGAAAUACCUGAGCUUAACUUGGGUGCUGCAUUCCAAACUGGAUAUCUAGAGUGCAGGAGAGGAAAGUGGAAUUCCUAGUGUAGCGGUGAAAUGCGUAGAGAUUAGGAAGAACCCCAGUGGCGAAGGCGACUUUCUGGACUGUAACUGACACUGAGGCUCGAAAGCGUGGGGAGCAAACAGG